UACGAAGGGGGCUAGCGUUGCUCGGAAUUACUGGGCGUAAAGCGCACGUAGGCGGCUUUCUAAGUCGGGGGUGAAUCCUGGAGCUCAACUCCAGACUGCCUUCGAUACUGGAGAGCUCGAGUCCGGAGAGGUGAGUGGAACUGCGAGUGUAGAGGUGAAUCGUAGAUAUUCGCAAGAACACCAGUGGCGAAGGCGGCUCACUGGCCCGGUACUGACGCUGAGGUGCGAAAGCGUG
rnacentral:rRNA from 1 species